rnacentral:snoRNA from 1 species
GCCUGUGAUGAUGCUUUAUUCAAGAAAUGCAUUUAUGCAUUCAUGUUGAAAACUCCAUUUUGACUAGGACGGUCUGAGGC